rnacentral:rRNA from 1 species
CGCGGCCUAUCAGCUUGUUGGUGGGGUAAUGGCCUACCAAGGCGACGACGGGUAACCGGCCUGAGAGGGUGACCGGCCACACUGGGACUGAGACACGGCCCAGACUCCUACGGGAGGCAGCAGUGGGGAAUAUUGCACAAUGGGCGCAAGCCUGAUGCAGCGACGCCGCGUGAGGGAUGACGGCCUUCGGGUUGUAAACCUCUUUCAGCACGGAAGAAGCGAAAGUGACGGUACGUGCAGAAGAAGCGCCGGCUAACUACGUGCCAGCAGCCGCGGUAAUACGUAGGGCGCAAGCGUUGUCCGGAAUUAUUGGGCGUAAAGAGCUCGUAGGCGGUUUGUCGCGUCUGCUGUGAAAGCCCGGGGCUUAACCCCGGGUGUGCAGUGGGUACGGGCAGACUUGAGUGUAGUAGGGGAGACUGGAAUUCCUGGUGUAGCGGUGAAAUGCGCAGAUAUCAGGAAGAACACCGAUGGCGAAGGCAGGUCUCUGGGCUGUUACUGACGCUGAGGAGCGAAAGCAUGGGGAGCGAACAGGAUUAGAUACCCUGGUAGUCCAUGCCGUAAACGUUGGGCACUAGGUGUGGGGGACAUUCCACGUUUUCCGCGCCGUAGCUAACGCAUUAAGUGCCCCGCCUGGGGAGUACGG